GCAUCAAUGGGGUAGUGGUAACCUGGGUCGUUGCCAUGAAUAUGCAUGUUUUCGACCCGCCGGGGGUUCAAUUCCCCCUUGAUGCA